rnacentral:rRNA from 1 species
GCACCCUACGGGAGGCAGCAGUGGGGAAUAUUGCACAAUGGGGGAAACCCUGAUGCAGCGACGCCGCGUGAGUGAAGAAGUAUUUCGGUAUGUAAAGCUCUAUCAGCAGGGAAGAAGUUGACGGUACCUGAGUAAGAAGCCCCGGCUAACUACGUGCCAGCAGCCGCGGUAAUACGUAGGGGGCGAGCGUUAUCCGGAUUCAUUGGGCGUAAAGCGCGCGUAGGCGGCCUGUUAGGUCGGGGGUCAAAUACCGGGGCUCAACCCCGGUCCGCCCCCGAUACCGGCAGGCUUGAGUCUG